rnacentral:rRNA from 1 species
UACAGAGGUCUCAAGCGUUGUUCGGAUUCAUUGGGCGUAAAGGGUGCGUAGGCGGCGCGGUAAGUCGGGUGUGAAAUCUCGGAGCUUAACUCCGAAACUGCAUUCGAUACUGCCGUGCUUGAGGACUGGAGAGGAGACUGGAAUUUACGGUGUAGCGGUGAAAUGCGUAGAUAUCGUAAGGAAGACCAGUGGCGAAGGCGGGUCUCUGGACAGUUCCGAUCGCGUGAGGCACGAAGGUCAGGGGAGCAAACGGG